CCUACGGGAGACAGCAGUGAGGAAUAUUGGUCAAUGGGCGCGAGCCUGAACCAGCAAAGCCGCGUGAGGGAUGAAGGUUCUAUGGAUCGUAAACCCCUUUUAUAAGGGAAUAAAGUGUGGGACGUGUCCUAUUUUGUAUGUACCUUAUGAAUAAGGAUCGGCUAACUCCGUGCCAGCAGCCGCGGUAAUACGGAGGAUCCGAGCGUUAUCCGGAUUUAUUGGGUUUAAAGGGUGCGUAGGCGGCCUUUUAAGUCAGCGGUGAAAGUCUGUGGCUCAACCAUAGAAUUGCCGUUGAAACUGGGGGGCUUGAGUAUGUUAGAGGCAGGCGGAAUGCGAGGUGUAGCGGUGAAAUGCUUAGAUAUCACGCAGAACACCGAUUGCGAAGGCAGCCUGCCAAGCCAUGACUGACGCUGAUGCACGAAAGCGUGGGGAUCAAACAGGAUUAGAUACCCUUGUAGUC
rnacentral:rRNA from 1 species